GAUCCUGGCUCAGGAUGAACGCUAGCUACAGGCUUAACACAUGCAAGUCGAGGGGAAACGACAUUGGAAGCUUGCUUCCUUUGGGCGUCGACCGGCGCACGGGUGAGUAACGCGUAUCCAACCUUCCCGCAAGUAAGGGAUAACCCGUAGAAAUGCGGCCUAAUACCUUAUGUUUUCCUUAGAGGGCAUCUGAUGAGGAACAAAGAUCCGUCGCUUGCGGAUGGGGAUGCGUCUGAUUAGUUAGUCGGCGGGGG
rnacentral:rRNA from 1 species